rnacentral:rRNA from 1 species
GAUGAACGCUGGCGGCGUGCCUAACACAUGCAAGUCGAGCGAACAGACGAUGAGCUUGUGCCUUUGACGUUAGCGGCGGACGGGCGAGUAACACGUGGAUAACCUACUUAUAAUUCUGGGAUAAUUUCGGGAAACCGGAUCCAAUACCGUAGAAUAUAUUGAACCGCAUGGUUCAAUAGUUAAACACGGCUUUGCCGUCACUAAUAGCUGCAUCCGCGCUGGAUUAGAUAGUUGGUAAGGUAACGGCCUAUCAAGGCAACGAUGCGUAGCCGACCUGAGGGGGUGAUCGGCCACACUGGAACUGAGACACGGUCCAGACUCCUACGGGAGGCAGCAGUAGGGAAUCUUCGGCAAUGGGCGUAAGCCUGACACAGCAACGCCGAGUGGGUGAUGAAGGCCUUCGGGUCGUAAAGCUCUGUUAUUGGGGAAGAACAGCUGUGUACGUAAAUAUGGCCGUAUUGACGGUACCUAAUCAAAAAGCACCGGCUAACUACGUG